rnacentral:rRNA from 1 species
CCCCCAGAAACGGGGCAAGCCUUUAGAGGGUGGUACACAGCUGUUGCAUGGCUGUCGUCAGCUCGUGACGUGAGUUGUUCUCUUAAGUGAGGUAACGAGCGCAACCCCCAUUCUGUGUUACUAUGUCACAGAAGACUGCCCAGCAUUAUUUGUUGGGAGGAAGAGGGGACGACGUCAAGUCAUCAUGAUGCUUAUAUCCGGGGCUACACACAUCCUACAAUGGGUGGUACAGAGGGUCGCAAUACCGCGAGGUGGAGCUAAUCCUUAAAACCUCCCUCAGUUGGGAUUGCAGGCUGAAACUCGCCUGCAUGAACUUGGAAUUGGUAGUAAUCGCAAAUCAGCAGAUUGCGGUGAAUACGUUCUCGCCUCUU